AUUGAACGCUGGCGGCAUGCUUUACACAUGCAAGUCGAACGGUAACAGGCCUUCGGGUGCUGACGAGUGGCGAACGGGUGAGUAAUGCAUCGGAACGUGCCCAAUCGUGGGGGAUAACGUAGCGAAAGUUACGCUAAUACCGCAUAAGCCCUGAGGGGGAAAGCAGGGGAUCGCAAGACCUUGCGCGAAUGGAGCGGCCGAUGUCAGAUUAGCUAGUUGGUGGGGUAAAGCCUACCAAGGCGACGAUCUGUAGCGGGUCUGAGAGGAUGAUCCGCCACACUGGGACUGAGACACGGCCCAGACUCCUACGGGAGGCAGCAGUGGGGAAUUUUGGACAAUGGGCGCAAGCCUGAUCCAGCCAUGCCGCGUGCGGGACGAA
rnacentral:rRNA from 1 species